GCGUCAGCCGACGAUUUACUUAGUUGCAAGCCAGCGUAAUCAAUGCUUGUGGGUAUGUAGCAAACACAAACUUAAGGUCAUAAUUUCUGUCUUCAGUUAUCGAGUUUGAUUUCCGUGUAAAUACGGAAUGGUGGAUUUUAUAAAAGUUUUACUCCUCUUUCUGGUGGGACUUGGGGCCGUAAAAUGUACUUCUGUGUCGAUCGAUGUUUAUGGGCGUGUCGUGACUCACACUAUGAAUGGACCAGGAACGGUCUGUGGCUACAUGUGGGAUGACGUAGACGCAGAUGUCGUGUGUCGUCAAAUGGGAUUUGCCGCUGGAACUGCAACUCUGCUUCCACAGGAUCCUGUGUUCACCCGUAUGUUCUAUGACGUGUCCUGCAUGGGUCAUGAGACCGAGAUCCAGUCCUGUCAUUCUUACGAUUAUGACGUCUCAUUGAUAUGUUCAAUGUUUGAAGAUGCAGGAGUUUCGUGUUCCGGAAUGCCAAGUGGUGGACACUCAGAUGUGACGAUCGGAUCUGGAGGUAGGGUACUUGCCCAUGAUGUUAAUGGAACUGGAACAGUCUGUGGUGAUCAAUGGGACGACAUUGAUGCAGACGUUCUUUGUCGUCAGAUGGGAUUUGCCUCUGGUACAGCGACCAUUUUACCACGUGAUUACAUGUUCAACCGACACAUUUUCAAUGUGCGUUGCUUGGGGAAUGAAACUCAGGUUCAAGAAUGCCCUGUCGAUAAGACUGAUAUGUUUGGAAGCUGUUCUUCAAUUGGUGAUGCUGGCGUUAGUUGUGUGCAAAAUGGCACAGCAGGUACGGUUGUCGGAUUUGGAACAGACGGUCGAGUGUUGGCGCACACUUCAAACGUAACAGGAACGGUUUGUGGAUACAAGUGGGAUGACGUAGACGCAGAAGUCCUUUGUCGUCAAAUGGGAUUUCCCUCUGGAACUGCAACUCUAUUGCCUCGCGAUCCUGUGUUCAACCGUGUCUACUUUGAAGUCAGCUGCAUUGGAAAUGAAACUGAUAUCCAAUCUUGCCACGCAUUCGAUUAUGACGUGUCGGCAAUGUGUUCAAUGUAUGAAGAUGCCGGAGUAUCAUGUUCUGGAAUGACAAGUGGAGGUAGUCCAUCGAUUGCACAUGACGGACGAGUUUUGGCUAACAACAUGAACGGAACUGGAACCGUUUGUGGGUACAUGUGGGACGACACAGAUGCUGACGUUCUCUGUCGUCAAAUGGGAUUCCCAUCUGGAAUAGCAAUUCUGAUGCCCCGGGAUCCUGUAUUCAACCGAUUUGUCUUUAACGUCAACUGCCUAGGAAAUGAAACUGACAUCCAGUCUUGUCCUGCUUUCGAUUAUGAUGUUUCAGGAAUGUGUUCAAUGUAUGAAGAUGCCGGAGUUUUAUGUUCUGGAAUGACAAGUGGUGGUCACUCCAAUGUGACGAUCGGACCAGGAGGUAGGGUACUUAACCAUGAUGUGAAUGGAACUGGAACAGUCUGUGGUGAUCAAUGGGACGACAUUGAUGCGAACGUUCUUUGUCGUCAGAUGGGAUUUGCCUCUGGUACAGCGACCAUUUUACCACGUGAUUACAUGUUCAACCGACACAUUUUCAAUGUACGUUGCUUAGGGAAUGAAACUCAGGUUCAAGAAUGCCCUGUCGAUAUGACUGGAAGCUGUUCUUCAAUUGGCGAUGCUGGCGUUAGUUGUGUGCAAAAUGGAACAACAGGAACUACAGUCUCGAUCGAUGUUUAUGGGCGUGUCGUGACUCACACUAUGAAUGGACCAGGAACGGUCUGUGGCUACAUGUGGGAUGACGUAGACGCAGAUGUCGUGUGUCGUCAAAUGGGAUUUGCCGCUGGAACUGCAACUCUGCUUCCACAGGAUCCUGUGUUCACCCGUAUGUUCUAUGACGUGUCCUGCAUGGGUCAUGAGACCGAGAUCCAGUCCUGUCAUUCUUACGAUUAUGACGUCUCAUUGAUAUGUUCAAUGUUUGAAGAUGCAGGAGUUUCGUGUUCCGGAAUGCCAAGUGGUGGACACUCAGAUGUGACGAUCGGAUCUGGAGGUAGGGUACUUGCCCAUGAUGUUAAUGGAACUGGAACAGUCUGUGGUGAUCAAUGGGACGACAUUGAUGCAGACGUUCUUUGUCGUCAGAUGGGAUUUGCCUCUGGUACAGCGACCAUUUUACCACGUGAUUACAUGUUCAACCGACACAUUUUCAAUGUGCGUUGCUUGGGGAAUGAAACUCAGGUUCAAGAAUGCCCUGUCGAUAAGACUGAUAUGUUUGGAAGCUGUUCUUCAAUUGGUGAUGCUGGCGUUAGUUGUGUGCAAAAUGGCACAGCAGGUACGGUUGUCGGAUUUGGAACAGACGGUCGAGUGUUGGCGCACACUUCAAACGUAACAGGAACGGUUUGUGGAUACAAGUGGGAUGACGUAGACGCAGAAGUCCUUUGUCGUCAAAUGGGAUUUCCCUCUGGAACUGCAACUCUAUUGCCUCGCGAUCCUGUGUUCAACCGUGUCUACUUUGAAGUCAGCUGCAUUGGAAAUGAAACUGAUAUCCAAUCUUGCCACGCAUUCGAUUAUGACGUGUCGGCAAUGUGUUCAAUGUAUGAAGAUGCCGGAGUAUCAUGUUCUGGAAUGACAAGUGGAGGUAGUCCAUCGAUUGCACAUGACGGACGAGUUUUGGCUAACAACAUGAACGGAACUGGAACCGUUUGUGGGUACAUGUGGGACGACACAGAUGCUGACGUUCUCUGUCGUCAAAUGGGAUUCCCAUCUGGAAUAGCAAUUCUGAUGCCCCGGGAUCCUGUAUUCAACCGAUUUGUCUUUAACGUCAACUGCCUAGGAAAUGAAACUGACAUCCAGUCUUGUCCUGCUUUUGAUUAUGAUGUUUCAGGAAUGUGUUCAAUGUAUGAAGAUGCCGGAGUUAUAUGUUCUGGAAUGACAAGUGGUGGUCACUCCAAUGUGACGAUCGGACCAGGAGGUAGGGUACUUAACCAUGAUGUGAAUGGAACUGGAACAGUCUGUGGUGAUCAAUGGGACGACAUUGAUGCAAACGUUCUUUGUCGUCAGAUGGGAUUUGCCUCUGGUACAGCGACCAUUUUACCACGUGAUUACAUGUUCAACCGACACAUUUUCAAUGUACGUUGCUUAGGGAAUGAAACUCAGGUUCAAGAAUGCCCUGUCGAUAUGACUGGAAGCUGUUCUUCAAUUGGCGAUGCUGGCGUUAGUUGUGUGCAUAAUGGAACAACAGGAACUACAGUCUCGAUCGAUGUUUAUGGGCGUGUCGUGGCUCACACUAUGAAUGGACCAGGAACGGUCUGUGGCUACAUGUGGGAUGACGUAGACGCAGAUGUCGUGUGUCGUCAAAUGGGAUUUGCCACUGGAACUGCAACUCUGCUUCCACAGGAUCCUGUGUUCACCCGUAUGUUCUAUGACGUGUCCUGCAUGGGUCAUGAGACCGAGAUCCAGUCCUGUCAUUCUUACGAUUAUGACGUCUCAUUGAUAUGUUCAAUGUUUGAAGAUGCAGGAGUUUCGUGUUCCGGAAUGCCAAGUGGUGGACACUCAGAUGUGACAAUCGGAUCUGGAGGUAGGGUACUUGCCCAUGAUGUUAAUGGAACUGGAACAGUCUGUGGUGAUCAAUGGGACGACAUUGAUGCGGACGUUCUUUGUCGUCAGAUGGGAUUUGCCUCUGGUACAGCGACCAUUUUACCACGUGAUUACAUGUUCAACCGACACAUUUUCAAUGUGCGUUGCUUAGGGAAUGAAACUCAGGUACAAGAAUGCCCUGUCGAUAAGACUGAUAUGUUUGGAAGCUGUUCUUCAAUUGGUGAUGCUGGCGUUAGUUGUGUGCAAAAUGGCACAGCAGGUACGGUUGUCGGAUUUGGAACAGACGGUCGAGUGUUGGCGCACACUUCAAACGUAACAGGAACGGUUUGUGGAUACAAGUGGGAUGACGUAGACGCAGAAGUCCUUUGUCGUCAAAUGGGAUUUCCCUCUGGAACUGCAACUCUAUUGCCUCGCGAUCCUGUGUUCAACCGUGUCUACUUUGAAGUCAGCUGCAUUGGAAAUGAAACUGAUAUCCAAUCUUGCCACGCAUUCGAUUAUGACGUGUCGGCAAUGUGUUCAAUGUAUGAAGAUGCCGGAGUAUCAUGUUCUGGAAUGACAAGUGGAGGUAGUCCAUCGAUUGCACAUGACGGACGAGUUUUGGCUAACAACAUGAACGGAACUGGAACCGUUUGUGGGUACAUGUGGGACGACACAGAUGCUGACGUUCUCUGUCGUCAAAUGGGAUUCCCAUCUGGAAUAGCAAUUCUGAUGCCCCGGGAUCCUGUAUUCAACCGAUUUGUCUUUAACGUCAACUGCCUAGGAAAUGAAACUGACAUCCAGUCUUGUCCUGCUUUUGAUUAUGAUGUUUCAGGAAUGUGUUCAAUGUAUGAAGAUGCCGGAGUUAUAUGUUCUGGAAUGACAAGUGGUGGUCACUCCAAUGUGACGAUCGGACCAGGAGGUAGGGUACUUAACCAUGAUGUGAAUGGAACUGGAACAGUCUGUGGUGAUCAAUGGGACGACAUUGAUGCAAACGUUCUUUGUCGUCAGAUGGGAUUUGCCUCUGGUACAGCGACCAUUUUACCACGUGAUUACAUGUUCAACCGACACAUUUUCAAUGUACGUUGCUUAGGGAAUGAAACCCAGGUUCAACAAUGCCCUGUCGAUAUGACUGGAAGCUGUUCUUCAAUUGGCGAUGCUGGCGUUAGUUGUGUGCAAAAUGGAACAACAGGAACUACAGUCUCGAUCGAUGUUUAUGGGCGUGUCGUGGCUCACACUAUGAAUGGACCAGGAACGGUCUGUGGCUACAUGUGGGAUGACGUAGACGCAGAUGUCGUGUGUCGUCAAAUGGGAUUUGCCACUGGAACUGCAACUCUGCUUCCACAGGAUCCUGUGUUCACCCGUAUGUUCUAUGACGUGUCCUGCAUGGGUCAUGAGACCGAGAUCCAGUCCUGUCAUUCUUACGAUUAUGACGUCUCAUUGAUAUGUUCUAUGUUUGAAGAUGCAGGAGUUUCGUGUUCCGGAAUGCCAAGUGGUGGACACUCAGAUGUGACAAUCGGAUCUGGAGGUAGGGUACUUGCCCAUGAUGUGAAUGGAACUGGAACAGUCUGUGGUGAUCAAUGGGACGACAUUGAUGCAAACGUUCUUUGUCGUCAGAUGGGAUUUGCCUCUGGUACAGCGACCAUUUUACCACGUGAUUACAUGUUCAACCGACACAUUUUCAAUGUGCGUUGCUUAGGGAAUGAAACUCAGGUUCAAGAAUGCCCUGUCGAUAAGACUGAUAUGUUUGGAAGCUGUUCUUCAAUUGGUGAUGCUGGCGUUAGUUGUGUGCAAAAUGGCACAGCAGGUACGGUUGUCGGAUUUGGAACAGACGGUCGAGUGUUGGCGCACACUUCAAACGUAACAGGAACGGUUUGUGGAUACAAGUGGGAUGACGUAGACGCAGAAGUCCUUUGUCGUCAAAUGGGAUUUCCCUCUGGAACUGCAACUCUAUUGCCUCGCGAUCCUGUGUUCAACCGUGUCUACUUUGAAGUCAGCUGCAUUGGAAAUGAAACUGAUAUCCAAUCUUGCCACGCAUUCGAUUAUGACGUGUCGGCAAUGUGUUCAAUGUAUGAAGAUGCCGGAGUAUCAUGUUCUGGAAUGACAAGUGGAGGUAGUCCAUCGAUUGCACAUGACGGACGAGUUUUGGCUAACAACAUGAACGGAACUGGAACCGUUUGUGGGUACAUGUGGGACGACACAGAUGCUGACGUUCUCUGUCGUCAAAUGGGAUUCCCAUCUGGAAUAGCAAUUCUGAUGCCCCGGGAUCCUGUAUUCAACCGAUUUGUCUUUAACGUCAACUGCCUAGGAAAUGAAACUGACAUCCAGUCUUGUCCUGCUUUCGAUUAUGAUGUUUCAGGAAUGUGUUCAAUGUAUGAAGAUGCCGGAGUUUUAUGUUCUGGAAUGACAAGUGGUGGUCACUCCAAUGUGACGAUCGGACCAGGAGGUAGGGUACUUAACCAUGAUGUGAAUGGAACUGGAACAGUCUGUGGUGAUCAAUGGGACGACAUUGAUGCGAACGUUCUUUGUCGUCAGAUGGGAUUUGCCUCUGGUACAGCGACCAUUUUACCACGUGAUUACAUGUUCAACCGACACAUUUUCAAUGUUCGUUGCUUAGGGAAUGAAACCCAGGUUCAAGAAUGCCCUGUCGAUAUGACUGGAAGCUGUUCUUCAAUUGGCGAUGCUGGCGUUAGUUGUGUGCAAAAUGGAACAACAGGAACUACAGUCUCGAUCGAUGUUUAUGGGCGUGUCGUGGCUCACACUAUGAAUGGACCAGGAACGGUCUGUGGCUACAUGUGGGAUGACGUAGACGCAGAUGUCGUGUGUCGUCAAAUGGGAUUUGCCACUGGAACUGCAACUCUGCUUCCACAGGAUCCUGUGUUCACCCGUAUGUUCUAUGACGUGUCCUGCAUGGGUCAUGAGACCGAGAUCCAGUCCUGUCAUUCUUACGAUUAUGACGUCUCAUUGAUAUGUUCAAUGUUUGAAGAUGCAGGAGUUUCGUGUUCCGGAAUGCCAAGUGGUGGACACUCAGAUGUGACGAUCGGAUCUGGAGGUAGGGUACUCGCCCAUGAUGUGAAUGGAACUGGAACAGUCUGUGGUGAUCAAUGGGACGACAUUGAUGCGGACGUUCUUUGUCGUCAGAUGGGAUUUGCCUCUGGUACAGCGACCAUUUUACCACGUGAUUACAUGUUCAACCGACACAUUUUCAAUGUGCGUUGCUUAGGGAAUGAAACUCAGGUUCAAGAAUGCCCUGUCGAUAAGACUGAUAUGUUUGGAAGCUGUUCUUCAAUUGGUGAUGCUGGCGUUAGUUGUGUGCAAAAUGGCACAGCAGGUACGGUUGUCGGAUUUGGAACAGACGGUCGAGUGUUGGCGCACGCUUCAAACGUAACAGGAACGGUUUGUGGAUACAAGUGGGAUGACGUAGACGCAGAAGUCCUUUGUCGUCAAAUGGGAUUUCCCUCUGGAACUGCAACUCUAUUGCCUCGCGAUCCUGUGUUCAACCGUGUCUACUUUGAAGUCAGCUGCAUUGGAAAUGAAACUGAUAUCCAAUCUUGCCACGCAUUCGAUUAUGACGUGUCGGCAAUGUGUUCAAUGUAUGAAGAUGCCGGAGUAUCAUGUUCUGGAAUGACAAGUGGAGGUAGUCCAUCGAUUGCACAUGACGGACGAGUUUUGGCUAACAACAUGAACGGAACUGGAACCGUUUGUGGGUACAUGUGGGACGACACAGAUGCUGACGUUCUCUGUCGUCAAAUGGGAUUCCCAUCUGGAAUAGCAAUUCUGAUGCCCCGGGAUCCUGUAUUCAACCGAUUUGUCUUUAACGUCAACUGCCUAGGAAAUGAAACUGACAUCCAGUCUUGUCCUGCUUUCGAUUAUGAUGUUUCAGGAAUGUGUUCAAUGUAUGAAGAUGCCGGAGUUUUAUGUUCUGGAAUGACAAGUGGUGGUCACUCCAAUGUGACGAUCGGACCAGGAGGUAGGGUACUUAACCAUGAUGUGAAUGGAACUGGAACAGUCUGUGGUGAUCAAUGGGACGACAUUGAUGCAAACGUUCUUUGUCGUCAGAUGGGAUUUGCCUCUGGUACAGCGACCAUUUUACCACGUGAUUACAUGUUCAACCGACACAUUUUCAAUGUACGUUGCUUAGGGAAUGAAACCCAGGUUCAACAAUGCCCUGUCGAUAUGACUGGAAGCUGUUCUUCAAUUGGCGAUGCUGGCGUUAGUUGUGUGCAAAAUGGAACAACAGGAACUACAGUCUCGAUCGAUGUUUAUGGGCGUGUCGUGGCUCACACUAUGAAUGGACCAGGAACGGUCUGUGGCUACAUGUGGGAUGACGUAGACGCAGAUGUCGUGUGUCGUCAAAUGGGAUUUGCCACUGGAACUGCAACUCUGCUUCCACAGGAUCCUGUGUUCACCCGUAUGUUCUAUGACGUGUCCUGCAUGGGUCAUGAGACCGAGAUCCAGUCCUGUCAUUCUUACGAUUAUGACGUCUCAUUGAUAUGUUCAAUGUUUGAAGAUGCAGGAGUUUCGUGUUCCGGAAUGCCAAGUGGUGGACACUCAGAUGUGACAAUCGGAUCUGGAGGUAGGGUACUCGCCCAUGAUGUGAAUGGAACUGGAACAGUCUGUGGUGAUCAAUGGGACGACAUUGAUGCGAACGUUCUUUGUCGUCAGAUGGGAUUUGCCUCUGGUACAGCGACUAUUUUACCACGUGAUUACAUGUUCAACCGACACAUUUUCAAUGUGCGUUGCUUAGGGAAUGAAACCCAGGUUCAAGAAUGCCCUGUCGAUAAGACUGAUAUGUUUGGAAGCUGUUCUUCAAUUGGUGAUGCUGGCGUUAGUUGUGUGCAAAAUGGCACAGCAGGUACGGUUGUCGGAUUUGGAACAGACGGUCGAGUGUUGGCGCACACUUCAAACGUAACAGGAACGGUUUGUGGAUACAAGUGGGAUGACGUAGACGCAGAAGUCCUUUGUCGUCAAAUGGGAUUUCCCUCUGGAACUGCAACUCUAUUGCCUCGCGAUCCUGUGUUCAACCGUGUCUACUUUGAAGUCAGCUGCAUUGGAAAUGAAACUGAUAUCCAAUCUUGCCACGCAUUCGAUUAUGACGUGUCGGCAAUGUGUUCAAUGUAUGAAGAUGCCGGAGUAUCAUGUUCUGGAAUGACAAGUGGGGGUAUUCCAUCGAUUGCACAUGACGGACGAGUGUUGGCUAACAACAUGAACGGAACCGGAACCGUUUGUGGGUACAUGUGGGACGACACAGAUGCUGACGUUCUCUGUCGUCAAAUGGGAUUCCCAUCUGGAAUAGCAAUUCUGAUGCCCCGGGAUCCUGUAUUCAACCGAUUUGUCUUUAACGUCAACUGCCUAGGAAAUGAAACUGACAUCCAGUCUUGUCCUGCUUUCGAUUAUGAUGUUUCAGGAAUGUGUUCAAUGUAUGAAGAUGCCGGAGUUGUAUGUUCUGGAAUGAAAAGUGGUGGUCACUCCAAUGUGACGAUCGGACCAGGAGGUAGAGUACUUAACCAUGAUGUGAAUGGAACUGGAACAGUCUGUGGUGAUCAAUGGGACGACAUUGAUGCGGACGUUCUUUGUCGUCAGAUGGGAUUUGCCUCUGGUACAGCGACCAUUUUACCACGUGAUUACAUGUUCAACCGACACAUUUUCAAUGUACGUUGCUUAGGGAAUGAAACUCAGGUUCAAGAAUGCCCUGUCGAUAUGACUGGAAGCUGUUCUUCAAUUGGUGAUGCUGGCGUUAGUUGUGUGCAAAAUGGAACAGCAGGUGUCGUUAAUACGGUGUACAUUGGGCAAGAUGGAAGGGUAAUGGCAUCACAUAAUGUAACGGGCUACACAGGAACCGUUUGUGGUUAUAUGUGGGAUGAUCUAGACGCCAUGGUUUUGUGUCAGCAAUUUGGAUAUCCAUCUGGGAUUGCGAAACAAAUGCCAACUGAUCAUAACUAUAAUCGAGUUAUUUUUAAUGUUCAAUGUAUGGGUAUGGAACCUGAUGUGUAUGCUUGCCCUGUAGAUCAUUCAGAUACAACGGGAAACUGUCCAAUGGCAAAUGAUGCAGGAGUAGAAUGUGAAAAUAUGACAUCGCAAUAUCCAUCUACUCAAACUACAAUAACGCAAACCUUCGCAGGACAAACAUCAACUCAACAAGCUUCAACGCAAUUUCCCUACACCCAGACUAGUACUGAACAACCAACAACAAACUUCUCCCAAACAACCGGCCAAGUAUUCUCUGGACAGAGCACGACAGAACAACACACAACUCAAUUCCCCUCAACAAGUCAAACUUCUCAUCAACAAACAACGCCAUUCUCCUACACUACUAGCCAGGCAUCUGCUGGACAAACCUCUACACAAGGCAUUACAACGCAAAUUACACAAACUUCAAGCCACGUUUCUACUGGGCAAAAUACAACAAACCAAGUUACAACCCAUGUUCCUAUGAGUACAAACCACAACACCGUCUGCAGGACAAACAACUCAAUCCCAGACUACCUCUGUAAACUGUCAACCUGGAUCAGGGUCGUGUAUUUUGCAAAUGGAUUCUUUGGGUGCAGGAGCGGAAACGAGGAUGGCAUCAAGCGUAUUUAUUGUGAUUAGCUCUGUUGUCAGCGUCCUUUGCCUUGUUUUUAUGUAUUAAGACAUAUUUCAGUGAACUUUAAGAAUGACUUGCCAAUGAUAGAGAACACCAGCAACGACGACUUUUUUUUUAUAUAAAUACUAUCUUAUAAAUGUGGCGAUACCUUGCGUAAAGACAACUCUAUACGUUGAUAGCUCUUGUUUUUGAUCUGUAUAAAUAUAGUUGUUACAAUAAAGUAUAUAAAUAACACAUUCUCGUAUGGUAAUUUC
rnacentral:sRNA from 1 species